rnacentral:rRNA from 1 species
CAAUAGCGUAUAUUAAAGUUGUUGCAGUUAAAAGCUCGUAGUUGGAUUUCUGGCCGAGUGUCCCUAGGCCAGCAUGACGUUUGGUCCUAGGCGCUCUGCCAUCCUUCUGUCAACCUUCGCCUUCUUCAUUGGGGCGCUGGGGCUCAGAUAUUUACCUUGAGAAAAUUAGAGUGUUUCAGGCAGGCUUUCGCCGGAAUACAUUAGCAUAGGAAUAAUGGAAAGGACUUCAACCUCUUCUGUUGGUCUGAGAGGCGUGUAGUAAGUGAUUAAUAGGGAUAGUUGGGGGCGAUUAGUACUUAACUAGUCAGAGGUGAAAUUACUCCGAUUUGUUAAAGACUAACUUAUGCGAAAGCAUUUGCCAAGG